rnacentral:rRNA from 1 species
AGGGCAUCUGGUGGAUGCCUUGGCGCCAAGAGGCGAUGAAGGACGUGGCACGCUGCGAAAAGCCGCGGGGAGUUGCGAGCAAGCUUUGAUCCGCGGAUGUCCGAAUGGGGAAACCCGGCCCUUAUGGGUCAUCCCUGGCUGAAUCCAUAGGCCAGGGAGGCGAACCCGGGGAACUGAAACAUCUCAGUACCCGGAGGAAAGGAAAUCAACCGAGACUCCCUUAGUAGUGGCGAGCGAACGGGGACCAGGCCAGUGGCCUUCGCCAACGUUACCGGAACGGCCUGGAAAGGCCGACCACAGAGGGUGACAGUCCCGUACGGGAAAGCGUGGCGGAGGUCCUCGAGUAGGGCGGGGCACGUGAAACCCUGUCCGAACGUGGGGGGACCACCCUCCAAGCCUAAGUACUCCUUGGCGACCGAUAGUGCACCAGUACCGUGAGGGAAAGGUGAAAAGCACCCCUAGCGGGGAGUGAAAGAGACCUGAAACCGGAUGCCUACAAGCAGUCGGAGCCCCUUCGGGGGUGACGGCGUACCUUUUGUAUAAUGGGCCAGCGAGUUGGUUUUGCGAGCGAGCUUAAGCCGUUAGGCGUAGGCGGAGCGAAAGCGAGUCUGAACAGGGCGUCGAGUUCGCAGGAUCAGACCCGAAACCGAGUGAUCUAGCCAUGGGCAGGCUGAAGGUGCGGUAACACGUACUGGAGGGCCGAACCCACGUCUGUUGAAAAAGACGGGGAUGACCUGUGGUUAGGGGUGAAAGGCCAAUCAAACUCGGAGAUAGCUGGUUCUCCGCGAAAGCUAUUUAGGUAGCGCGUCGCGUGAUUACCCACGGGGGUAGAGCACUGGAUGGGCUAGGGGGCCGCGAGGCUUACCAAACCCAACCAAACUCCGAAUACCGUGGAGUACAGCGCGGCAGACAGUCUCGGGGUGCUAAGGUCCCGGGACGAGAGGGAAACAGCCCUGACCUCCAGCUAAGGUCCCCAAGUCGUGGUUAAGUGGGAAAGGAUGUGGGGCAGCCAAGACAACCAGGAGGUUGGCUUAGAAGCAGCCAUCCUUUAAAGAAAGCGUAACAGCUCACUGGUCUAACAGCCGCCCUGCGCCGAAGAUGUACCGGGGCUCAAACCACGCACCGAAGCUGAGGACACCGCAAGGUGUGGUAGCGGAGCGUCGCCUAGGCCCGUGAAGGCGGAUCGUGAGGUCCGCUGGAGGUAUGGCGAGUGAGAAUGCUGGCAUGAGUAGCGACAAAGAGUGUGAGAAACACUCUCGCCGCAAGUCCAAGGGUUCCUGCGCAAGGCUAAUCCGCGCAGGGUGAGCCGGCCCCUAAGGCGAGGCCGAAAGGCGUAGUCGAUGGGAACCAGGUCAACAUUCCUGGGCCUGCCGGGAAGUGACGGAUGGCGUGUAUCGUCUCCCCUUACUGGAUUGGGGGGGCGGUGAAGCCGUCCCGGGAAACAGCCCCGGCACGAGACCGUACCCUAAACCGACACAGGUGGACUGGUGGCAACCCACCGAGGCGCUUGAGAGAACGACGCUGAAGGAACUCGGCAAAAUCCCCCCGUAACUUCGGGAGAAGGGGGCCCCGUUCGUGGGCAACCACGGGCGGGGGGCACAGAAUAGGGGGUGGCGACUGUUUAUUAAAAACACAGGGCUCUGCGAAGUCGACGAGACGACGUAUAGGGUCUGACGCCUGCCCGGUGCCGGAAGGUUAAGAGGAGGGGUGCAAGCUCCGAAUCGAAGCCCCGGUAAACGGCGGCCGUAACUAUAACGGUCCUAAGGUAGCGAAAUUCCUUGUCGGGUAAGUUCCGACCUGCACGAAUGGCGUAACGACUGCCCCACUGUCUCCAGCGUCGACUCAGCGAAAUUGAAUUCUCCGUGAAGAUGCGGAGUACCCGCGGUCAGACGGAAAGACCCCGUGAACCUUUACUACAGCUUCGCAGUGGCGCUAGAGCAUGCAUGUGUAGGAUAGGCGGGAGCCUGCGAAGCCGGUGCGCCAGCAUCGGUGGAGGCGCCCUUGAAAUACCGCCCUUGUGUGCUUUGGCGUCUAACCGCGGCCCGUGAACCCGGGUCCGGGACCCUGCGUGGCGGGUAGUUUGACUGGGGCGGUCGCCUCCCAAAGAGUAACGGAGGCGCGCGAAGGUGAGCUCAGGCUGGUCGGAAAUCAGCCGUCGAGUGCAAUGGCAUAAGCUCGCCUGACUGCGAGGCCGACGGGCCGAGCAGAGACGAAAGUCGGUCAUAGUGAUCCGGUGGUCCCGCGUGGAAGGGCCAUCGCUCAACGGAUAAAAGGUACUCCGGGGAUAACAGGCUGAUACCCCCCAAGAGUCCCCAUCGACGGGGGUGUUUGGCACCUCGAUGUCGGCUCAUCACAUCCUGGGGCUGGAGCAGGUCCCAAGGGUUCGGCUGUUCGCCGAUUAAAGUGGUACGUGAGCUGGGUUUAGAACGUCGUGAGACAGUUCGGUCCCUAUCUGCCGUGGGUGUUCGAGACUUGAGAGGAGCCGUCCCCAGUACGAGAGGACCGGGAUGGACGCACCUCUGGUGGACCGGUUGUCGCGCCAGCGGCAUAGCCGGGUAGCUAAGUGCGGACGGGAUAACCGCUGAAGGCAUCUAAGCGGGAAGCCCCCCUCGAAACCAGGUCUCGCCGAGAGCCGUGGAAGACCACCACGUCGAUAGGAGGCAUGUGGAAGCGCGGCAACGCGUGGAGCUAAGCCUUACUAAUGGCUCGAUCGAUCUCG